UACGAAGGGGGCUAGCGUUGCUCGGAAUCACUGGGCGUAAAGGGUGCGUAGGCGGGGCUUUAAGUCAGGGGUGAAAUCCUGGAGCUCAACUCCAGAACUGCCUUUGAUACUGGGAAGCUCGAGUCCGGGAGAGGUGAGUGGAACUCCGAGUGUAGAGGUGAAAUUCGUAGAUAUUCGGAAGAACACCAGUGGCGAAGGCGGCUCACUGGCCCGAUACUGACGCUGAGGCACGAAAGCGUGGGGAGCAAACAGG
rnacentral:rRNA from 1 species